AAACAGGCAACGAAGUUGAAGAUCGCCAGAAACUUCAAGGAAGUAGAGCCAGAAGAACUUGACAUUUGUGUGCAAGGGAAUACAAACUAGAAGAAACAGGGGAGCGGUAGUUCAAACUACGAGCUAAGCAUUCAGUGCGCCCAAAGGGAAGUACAGAGAAGUUUGAUGUGUGAGACGCCACACCCCCCAAAACCAGUUGAGGAGAUUGUUGAUUUGACAACACCUGAAGUUCAAAUGUCAACUGGGUGGAAUCAUAGGCAAACUUGCUACUCACCAUGCAAAAAUAAUAACGAGUACACAGCCGAGACUCCCCCACUCAAAAUGAAGAAGGACUACUCCAUGGUUCCAAUAAUAGGAAAAAGGUUAUUUCCAGUGGAGGAAAGUUGUCAACAAGAAUCCAGCGGCAGCAAAAGGAAUCCAAUACAACUAAUGGAAGAAAAAACUGUA